rnacentral:rRNA from 1 species
GUCGUCAGCUCGUGUCGUGAGAUGUUCGGUUAAGUCCGCUAACGAGCGCAACCCUCGCUGUGUGUUACAAGUGUCACACGGAACUGCCGGUCAUAAACCGGAGGAAGGUGGGGAUGACGUCAAGUCAGCAUGGCCUUUAUAUCCUGGGCUACACACACGCUACAAUGGGAAGGGACAAUAGGUUGCGAAGCCGCGAGGCGGAGCCAAUCCAGCAAAACUUCCCUCAGUUCAGAUUGCAGGCUGCAACUCGCCUGCAUGAAGUUGGAGUUGCUAGUAAACGCAGGUCAGCCAUACUGCGUUGAAUACGUUCCCGGGGCUU